CCUACGCACUCCUACGGGAGGCAGCAGUGGGGAAUAUUGCACAAUGGGCGCAAGCCUGAUGCAGCCAUGCCGCGUGUAUGAAGAAGGCCUUCGGGUUGUAAAGUACUUUCAGCAGUGAGGAAGGUGGGUAUGUUAAUAGCAUACUCAUUUGACGUUAGCUGCAGAAGAAGCACCGGCUAACUCCGUGCCAGCAGCCGCGGUAAUACGGAGGGUGCGAGCGUUAAUCGGAAUUACUGGGCGUAAAGCGCAUGCAGGUGGUUUGUUAAGUCAGAUGUGAAAGCCCUGGGCUCAACCUCGGAAUUGCAUUUGAAACUGGCAAACUAGAGUACUGUAGAGGGGGUAGAAUUUCAGGUGUAGCGGUGAAAUGCGUAGAGAUCUGAAGGAAUACCGGUGGCGAAGGCGGCCCCCUGGACAGAUACUGACACUCAGAUGCGAAAGCGUGGGGAGCAAACAGGAUUAGAUACCCUGGUAG
rnacentral:rRNA from 1 species